UUUGCAUGUCGGAUUUGUGGUAGCAAUAGUCGAUUUGCGAUGAAAUUAUAUUGAACAUCGCGGUUAAACGGAUCGUGUUUAACGGACAGUGUAUAUCCCUUUUGAAAAUGCUUCAGCCACAUUUAACGUCAAUGCCAGGCGUAAGGACCAAAUUGAACUACAUCUUAGUGAUAUUGACAGGCUUCAGUAUUCCGUGUACUUUGUUUUCAUUACUACGUGAAACUUGGUUAGACGAGGGAUAUGUCUGGUCCGGAUUGUGGCAAAUAUGUGGCAGGAAUGGGUCGUGUUUUGAUUUGAUCUGUGUUUCGGAUGGGAUUGUACAGACCAGAAACUUACUAUAUGCAGGAAUAUGCACCGAAGUACUGUCAACAUUGGUAUCUUUGCUUUAUGUGUGUGCACGAAAGGAAAAUGUAGUUGUACUUUCUACCGUCCUCGUGCUGUCGCUUACAUACGGUAUAUGCACUAUGACCGCUAUUUUCAAGUAUGCUCGAGAUUCAGAUAGCAGCAGCUUUGGCAGCGCCUUUGUUUGGUGCGUCGUCGCCUGUAUAUCGGGCUGGUCAAUGGCUGCAGUCACCACGUUACUUCUGUGUCAGAAACGAUUGUGUUCAAACAUACCCAACUGGUGCUCAAAACGUCUAGAACAUUACGUUCUGUUAAGUCAAGACGAAGUAUGACAGGUCAUAUAUGUUGAAAAAAAAUGUUAAGACAAAAUAUGUUUUUUAUUUAUAAUUAAUAAUAAUGGAUAUUUUUAUAAAAAUGAAUAAACAAUAGACGAUUUAUUUGCAAACACUAAUGCUACGAAGCAUUCCGGGUCUCUUCGAUGUACAACGAUCGAUACAACUGUCGGACUUCAAACUAAUAUAAGACACUAUAUAACACGUGUUGAGUAUAUUUCUAAAAUUGGUUAUGUUAACUAUAAUCAAGGGACUCGAGCUCUACUUUUUUUAAGGAAACUUUUAUUUCUUUUUUUAUUAGAAUUAACAGUUUAUAAGUCAUACCUUACUAAUUAAUUUAUUUAUUGGAAAAAAAGAGGAUUGUACCAUGCAUAUUUUAUAAUUUUGAUUAGAAGCAUUAAGCAUCAUUAAUAGGGACACGUGUCGCGCCGAAAAUUCCGGUACGUAGUGACUUUCUUCCCAACCCACGAAUUGCUUCACUUUCUAUGUAUACAGCUUGACGUUAACUGAAUAAAAUAGUUAUUUUUUUCCGUGAAUGAAUAUUACAUCAAUAUAAAAUUCUGAAAAUAACACAUAUUCAGUAAAAUUGUUCAUUGAUAAGUCUGUCGACACGUUGCUUUUUACUUUAUUGUU